rnacentral:rRNA from 1 species
AGAGUUUGAUCAUGGCUCAGGACGAACGCUGGCGGCGUGCCUAACACAUGCAAGUCGAGCGGGGAACUUCGGUUCCCAGCGGCGGACGGGUGAGUAACACGUGGGUAACCUGCCUUGUAGAGGGGGAUAGCCUUCCGAAAGGAAGAUUAAUACCGCAUAACAUUGUGCUUUCGCAUGAGAGUAUAAUCAAAGGAGUAAUCCGCUACAAGAUGGACCCGCGGCGCAUUAGCUAGUUGGUGAGGUAACGGCUCACCAAGGCGACGAUGCGUAGCCGGCCUGAGAGGGUGAACGGCCACAUUGGAACUGAGACACGGUCCAGACUCCUACGGGAGGCAGCAGUGGGGAAUAUUGCACAAUGGGCGAAAGCCUGAUGCAGCAACGCCGCGUGAGUGAUGAAGGCCUUCGGGUUGUAAAGCUCUGUCUUCUGGGACGAUAAUGACGGUACCAGAGGAGGAAGCCACGGCUAACUACGUGCCAGCAGCCGCGGUAAUACGUAGGUGGCAAGCGUUGUCCGGAUUUACUGGGCGUAAAGGAUGCGUAGGCGGAUACUUAAGUCAGAUGUGAAAAUCCCGGGCUUAACUUGGGAACUGCAUUUGAAACUGGGUAUCUAGAGUGCGGGAGAGGAGAGUGGAAUUCCUAGUGUAGCGGUGAAAUGCGUAGAGAUUAGGAAGAACACCAGUGGCGAAGGCGACUCUCUGGACCGUAACUGACGCUGAGGCAUGAAAGCGUGGGGAGCAAACAGGAUUAGAUACCCUGGUAGUCCACGCCGUAAACUAUGAAUACUAGGUGUGGGAGUUGUCAUGACUUCCGUGCCGCAGUUAACACAAUAAGUAUUCCGCCUGGGGAGUACGGUCGCAAGAUUAAAACUCAAAGGAAUUGACGG